UAUUCUUUUCAGGUUAUUCUUUUCAGGUUAUUCUUUUCAGGAUAUUAUUUUCAGGAUAUUCAUUAAGUUAAUGUUCGUGCUGUGGAUAAUUUACUAUAACAAUAGGGUUAGGGUUUAUUCGUGCAAGGUACUAUAUCCUGGUUUUAGUUCAUAGUAAUAAGGUGCAGAAGUACAAAACGUCGGCAUAUUGAAAAUACGUUGUUGAUGUAAGGACACACAAUACAUACGUAUUUGUUAUCAUAUGAAUGUAAGGCUAAUAUUAAUUACGGUAUGAAAAUUUAAAAUGAAAAACGUAACAUGUAUAAAGGGUUAAACUUUCAUUUGCGUAUUGCGUAUUGCGUACUUUCAGGUGGCAGUCGAUAUGCUGAUGAAAGCAUAUAGGUCAAAAAUGAGUGUUGUUCACGAAAAAAAUAGGGGUAAAAUUGGGGGAAAAUAAUUUUAGGGUGUAAUAUGGUAUAAAGUAACGAGGGACUUUCACAACGUUCAUUUGUAUAUAUACUUAUGUAUAUAUAUGUUCAUGUAUAAAUACCACGUGGUAUUUUCUAUACAUGUCGGCUGUUCAAAUUUGGCUAAGUUCUUUAAUUAGAGGUUAUGAGGGUUCGCUUAUGUGCUGCGAAAUGGGGCUGCAUACUUCUAUGGUGCUAUGGUGGUACGUUAUUGGGUUAUACUCUGGUCAGUUAAUUUACGGUUAAGGGAAAGGUGUGUACAUUGGUGAUUAUUUUUUGUAAACGUGCGGAACGCUUAUGGAAAAAUAAUGUUCAUGUGGGGUGUGGCAAAUGGUGGAGCUGUACUUACUGCAUGCAUAUAUAUGUUAUUUUUUGGGGGAAGCCGUUAUUAUUCAUAAUUUUACAUUUUGUUGACGGAACGAAUCCGUUGCGUUAAUGAAUAGGGUACAUAAAUAUAGGUGCAUGGUUAUUCAUUUAGGUUUUCAAUUUUAAUUAUGUGCAUAUAUCUGUGUAACAAAAUUGUGGUGCACGUUAAAAAAGGACUUCUCUUAUGGUGUAUGGUAUGUAUGUGGUAUAUGGUAUGAGGUAUAUUCGGUGUGGUGGCAGUUCCAUCGCACUUAUAUUAUAUAUGUCAUGCUUACUCACUUUUGAUGCUGGCUUUUUCUAUCAACAGGUGAGCAUCAUUAAACAGGUGAUCUUCUUGUGAAAAUGUGAGGCAUAUGAGAUUAUUUCUUAAAAUGUUUUUGAUAAAUUGUUCGACUUCAUAUUUGUGACUUUUCAAAUAUUGAAAUUCCUUUAGACCUAUGUCUUUUAUGUUAUCAUAGAGCAUUCUUAAUAUGUAAAAUCUCACAUUUUUGAACUUUGCAUUCCUAUAGUUGUAUUGGUCUAGUACAAAAGGUUCGCUACUAUCCUUCUGAUGUUUGGAUGGGUGGUCUCUCAAGCCGUUUUGUUUUAAAAAAUCGUCAUAGGUGGUAGUAACUGAAAAGUUUUCAAUUGGAUUUUUAAACUGUUUAUGUGUUCUGCGUUUUCUCUUGUCCAUUUUUUCUUUUUCAUGCUGAUUUAUGUUAGAUGCUUCUGUGUUGUUUCCAUUUUUUUCUAAGCCACUUUUGGUUUUUGUAUUAGGUGUGAUAGGCGUUUUUCUUAUUAACAAGUCGGGAUCUCCUAUUCCAAAGAAUUUGAGCUUUCCAAAAUUCAUUUCUUGCACAGGAUCCUCCAAUUCGAGUUCUUCAAGUGAGGAAAAGUCUUCUUCAUUUGUGUGGUCGGUACUAUAUGGGGAGCUUUCCAGUAUAUCUUUCCAAGGAUAAUUUAUCACUUCGAAUGAAUCUUCUAAAGAUAAAUCUAAAUCUUCAUCUUCUUCUGGUUCGUUUUCCGUUUGUCUAAGUACUUCAUCGAGUUCAUAAUCGCUGAGGGAGUCGGAGCUAUCGGAUCUUUUUAAUACGGGUUUUCUUAAUGGGGAAUAGAUUUUUUUCUUCUUUUUAUGGUUAUCAAUUUCGUCGAUCAACUCAUCAAAGCUAUCCGUUUCGUUGCUCAAAUAGUUCAGCAUAACGGCGUCGUCGUUGCUAUCACUCUGGUUGGAUUGGUCAUCAUCGGAUCCGUUUUGAUAACCAUCCGUUGUUGUUCCGUCUUCGUCUAUGGUUUCAUACAGAUUUGUCAUAACUUGU
rnacentral:rRNA from 1 species